rnacentral:rRNA from 1 species
GAACGCUGGCGGCGUGCCUAAUACAUGCAAGUCGAGCGAACAGAUGAGGAGCUUGCUCCUCUGACGUUAGCGGCGGACGGGUGAGUAACACGUGGAUAACCUACCUAUAAGACUGGGAUAACUUCGGGAAACCGGAGCUAAUACCGGAUAAUAUAUUGAACCGCAUGGUUCAAUAGUGAAAGACGGUUUUGCUGUCACUUAUAGAUGGAUCCGCGCCGCAUUAGCUAGUUGGUAAGGUAACGGCUUACCAAGGCAACGAUGCGUAGCCGACCUGAGAGGGUGAUCGGCCACACUGGAACUGAGACACGAUCCAGACUCCUACGGGAGGCAGCAGUAGGGAAUCUUCCGCAAUGGGCGAAAGCCUGACGGAGCAACGCCGCGUGAGUGAUGAAGGUCUUCGGAUCGUAAAACUCUGUUAUUAGGGAAGAACAAAUGUGUAAGUAACUAUGCACGUCUUGACGGUACCUAAUCAGAAAGCCACGGCUAACUACGUG